CCUAUCCUCCUCCUCUGGUCGUUCUUACAGCAAAACUCCAUCCCGAUUACCUUCUACUGAUUUGUACCAAAACCAUUCCAAUUUCUUCUCCUGAUCAUUUAACAUCGACAAUCACUAGAACCCAAUAAUCAUUCAUUCAAUCAAAACCCUUCCUUCUUUUCUCGUUUCAAUGACCGAUUUGUACCCAAAGUACAGCCCCUUCCUUUUUUUCCCGUUUCAAUGACAAUCACUAGAACUUAUUAAUCAUUCAUUCAAUCGUCAACAAUAAUACUUUCUCUUCCAUGCAAAUCGAUGGAACAAAUUCUCAUUAUUCCUUCUUUGUUCAUUUCCAACAACCACCAACAGUACUCUCAAUUGGGUUAAGGGGUAUGUUAGGGUUCAUAAUUGGGGAAGAAGACGAACCAGCCGUGAUUUGUGACUCAGUCAUAAAUAUCUGAUUUGUUUCCAAUCGACCUUCCAGUGUAGUUUUGAGUACUAACUACUAAUCUAAGAUUUCAUUUUGUGUCCAUAGCCGAGAGAUGUUUGAUAAACGAUAAGCUCAAAUGUUGUCCAGAAAUGUUUCAUAUCUCAUCAUGUUGUUGCUCCUUCUUGGCGAUAGUAGUGUUGGAAGAUCAUCGAAGAAGAUGAUUUAUGGUGUUGAUUGGAUCGGAGUUGUGAGUCGGAGAAAUCGGUUUUGGCCUGAUGGUGUGGAGCAGAUAGUUUGUAAAUGUUAGGAAAGUAAAGGUUAUCAUGGUAAUUUUGUAUAACAAACUUUUUUUCUUCAUAAUUACCAAACUAAAGUCAAAACUUAAGACAAUCAUGGUAAUAUAUCGAGACAUUGGUCCGAAAAAAAGUUCCUUAUCUUCGUGGUACCACUAAGCUUGAUCUUUUGUAUUAAAGAUCGUAAAAUGUCUCCCAUAGAGAAAGUAAGUCAGAUUGUUUAAUUUUUGAUUUUCAAGAAGUGUCGUGAAAGUCCUAGUUAGUAAUUUGAUAGUAGAGGAUACUUGUUCUUCC